rnacentral:rRNA from 1 species
AACGAACGCUGGCGGCAUGCCUAACACAUGCAAGUCGAACGAGACCUUCUGGUCUAGUGGCGCACGGGUGCGUAACGCGUGGGAAUCUGCCCUUAGGUACGGGAUAACACAGGGAAACUUGUGCUAAUACCGUAUGAUGACGAAAGUCCAAAGAUUUAUCGCCUAAGGAUGAGCCCGCGUAGGAUUAGCUUGUUGGUGAGGUAAAGGCUCACCAAGGCGACGAUCCUUAGCUGGUCUGAGAGGAUGAUCAGCCACACUGGGACUGAGACACGGCCCAGACUCCUACGGGAGGCAGCAGUGGGGAAUAUUGGACAAUGGGCGAAAGCCUGAUCCAGCAAUGCCGCGUGAGUGAUGAAGGCCCUAGGGUUGUAAAGCUCUUUUACCCGGGAAGAUAAUGACUGUACCGGGAGAAUAAGCCCCGGCUAACUCCGUGCCAGCAGCCGCGGUAAUACGGAGGGGGCUAGCGUUGUUCGGAAUUACUGGGCGUAAAGCGCACGUAGGCGGCUUUGUAAGUUAGAGGUGAAAGCCCGGGGCUCAACCCCGGAAUUGCCUUUAAGACUGCAUCGCUUGAACGUCGGAGAGGUGAGUGGAAUUCCGAGUGUAGAGGUGAAAUUCGUAGAUAUUCGGAAGAACACCAGUGGCGAAGGCGGCUCACUGGACGACUGUUGACGCUGAGGUGCGAAAGCGUGGGAGCAAACAGGAUUAGAUACCCUGGUAGUCCACGCCGUAAACGAUGAUAACUAGCUGUCUGGGCUCUUGCAGCUUAGGUGGCGCAUCUUAGCGCAUUAAGUUAUCCGCCUGGGGAGUACGGCCGCAAGUUUAAA